UGAAUCAACAGGAUGUCCUUGAAGGG
rnacentral:piRNA from 1 species